rnacentral:rRNA from 1 species
GAUGAACGCUGGCGGUCUGCUUAACACAUGCAAGUCGAACGGAAUCCUUCGGGAUUUAGUGGCGGACGGGUGAGUAACACGUGAGAAUCUGCACUCAGGAUGGGGACAACAGCGGGAAACUGCCGCUAAUACCCAAUGUGCCGAAAGGUAAAAGAUUUAUCGCCUGAGAAUGAGCUCGCGGCCGAUUAGUUAGUUGGUGGGGUAAUGGCCUACCAAGACGGCGAUCGGUAGCUGGUCUGAGAGGAUGAGCAGCCACACUGGGACUGAGACACGGCCCAGACUCCUACGGGAGGCAGCAGUGGGGAAUUUUCCGCAAUGGGCGUAAGCCUGACGGAGCAAGACCGCGUGGGGGAGGAAGGCUCUUGGGUUGUAAACCCCUUUUCUCAAGGAAGAACAAAAUGACGGUACUUGAGGAAUCAGCCUCGGCUAACUCCGUGCCAGCCGCCGCCGCUGUAA